GGUGAGCAAGACUUGGUGUGGAAGCAGUUUUGCUUGCUACCCUUGUGUAAGUUAAUGCACUCAGUGAAUGGAGUGCUACCUUGUCCUGUUUGACCUGUGCUUGCUUAUUGAGCCAUAGCUUUCAAGUCUUGGACCCUGAACUCCAGAUUCUCCUUUUCCCCUGACCUUUGGACUGGACCUUCAGCUCCCUGACUCUGGACUGAAUUCCAGAGCCACUAGAAGACACAACCGGCUUGUCAUCAACUUCAACUUGUAAUUUACACUGUAGAAGGAAGAGAGGGAAAAGUUUGAGUUGCUGUCUCCCUGCUGAUGAAGUAAUCAACCUGCACCUGUUUUCUGCUGAGCAAAAAUGGUAGUUGUUAAUGCCUUGGCCUUUUAAUCUUCAAGAUGGUAAGAAACAGGCACACUCUAAAGAUCUGAAUCUGACAAACUUUCUCUCACUGUUUGCAAAUUGAAGAGGAACAGCAGGACACUGGCAUAUGUAUCUGUUUCCGUGAUGACAGAUUAUAAUGCCAUUGCUAAAAAUUAGAAUCACACAUGGAAAAAGAGAGAGAAGCCCAACUGUGAGCAAAGCUUUUGUUUAUAUCAAGACUGUCAGGGAGUCCAAGGCUGAACCCCGUGGGUCCCCAGGACUGUUGUGCACAUGAAACCAAACCUUUUAUUUAUUUUAUACAAAUAUUAUAAAGUUUAUUUAAAUUCUGUCGAAAUAAAGAAUUAUUCUACCAGCAA